GAGUUUGAUCAUGGCUCAGGAUGAAUGCUGGCGGCGUGGAUAAGGCAUGCAAGUCGAGUGGGUUUAGACCCACGGCAGACGAGGUAGUAACACGUAGGAACGUACCCCAAAGUCGGGAAUAUUCCAUCGAAAGAUGGCGCAAUACCCGAUGGUCUCUAAGGAGUAAAGAUUUAUCGCUUUGGGAGCGGCCUGCGCAAUAUCAGCUAGUUGGUGAGGUAAUGGCUCACCAAGGCUAUGACGUUUAGGGGAGCUGAGAGGCUGACCCCCACCGACGGAACUGAGAAACGGUCCUUACUCCUACGGGAGGCCGCAGUCGAGAAUCUUCCGCAAUGGACGCAAGUCUGACGGAGCGACGCCGCGUGGUAGAUGAAGUCCUUCGGGACGUAAAUACCUUUUAUGAGGGAUGACAUUUCGACAGUACCUCAUGAAUAAGGGGCUCCUAACUCUGUGCCAGCAGGAGCGGUAAUACAGAGGCCCCAAGCAUUAUCCGGAAUCACUGGGCGUAAAGGGUGCGUAGGUGGCGUUAUUAGUCCUCUUUCAAAUCUUCCGGGCUCAACCCGGAAGCUCGAGGGGAAACGGUAACGCUCGAGGAUGUACGAGGUAUGUGGAACUCUAGGUGUAGGGGUGAAAUCCGUUGAUAUCUAGGGGAACACCAAAUGCGAAGGCAGCAUACUGGGACAUUCCUGACACUGAGGCACGAAA
rnacentral:rRNA from 1 species